rnacentral:lncRNA from 1 species
UUUAUUUAUUCAAUAUUAUUUGUCGGGUAGCUCUGUUAGGGUUUUGUUUUAGUGGGAAAAUUACCCGUUUUUCCCAACAAGUGGUAUCAGAGCCGAAGGUUCGCCUUGGGUUGUUUGAAAUUAUUUGUAAUAUUGAAUAUUAUAUUUUGAGUUUGUAAUGGCAAAUCAAGAAGAAGAAGCCAAGGAUGUAUCCAGAGUGUCGGGCUCCUCUUCAUCAUGGUCGAGGUUCCCGGUGUNN